rnacentral:rRNA from 1 species
AUUGAACGCUGGCGGCGUGCCUAACACAUGCAAGUCGAGCGGCAGCGCGGGAGCAAUCCUGGCGGCGAGCGGCGAACGGGUGAGUAAUGCUUCGGAAUCUGCCCAUGUAGUGGGAUAACUAGCCGAAGGUUAGCUAAUACCGCAUACGACCUACGGGUGAAAGCAGGGGAGUCGUAAGACCUUGCGCUAUUGGAUGAGCCGAAGUCGGAUUAGCUAG